GAAAAACUGGGGAAAAGAGAAAAAUCAAGCUGGAAAUGUGCUGUAGAAAGUCUUGAGAGCAAAGUCCUCAAGGUUCAUUCAUUCAGCAAGCCUCUGUCCAGCCUUUACUGUGUGCUGAGUGAGAAGCUGAGGAUAAGGAAAGAGCAAGACUCCCAAGAAACAUGUCUGGCUGAAAGCCAAAACAUGUCACAACUUUGCUAUAUUUCUCUCCAGCAAUGAUUUGUAUAUGUUCGCCUUCUCCUCAAGUAGCACCUGGACCUGCUCCUUUCCUUUCGAUCACUAAGGGCUCAGUCUUCAAGUUUCGUUAUGAAACAGGGUGUACCAUCAGAAACGCAGGACUGCUGUGUUAUGCAUCUCCCGGUAGAACAGUUCACAUCAUUGUCUAUGUGGAUGAUGCCCCUGGAGGUGAGCAGUG
rnacentral:lncRNA from 1 species